UACAGAGGCGGCAAGCGUUGUUCGGAAUUAUUGGGCGUAAAGAGCACGUAGGCGGCUUUGUAAGUCGGUUGUGAAAUCCUCCCGCUCAACGGGAGAACGGCAGCCGAUACUGCAUAGCUUGAGUGCGGGAGGGGAGAGUGGAACUUCUGGUGGAGCGGUGAAAUGCGUAGAUAUCAGAAGGAACGCCGGCGGCGAAAGCGGCUCUCUGGCCCGUAACUGACGCUGAGUGUGCGAAAGCUAGGGGAGCAAACGGG
rnacentral:rRNA from 1 species